rfam:Leifsonia sp. Root4 contig_3, whole genome shotgun sequence.
UCUAGUUCCUGACGCCUGACUCCCAGCCGAUUCGCCCUGGCACACUUCCCCGGUGCCAGGUCGAGCGGAUGGGGAUCAGGGAUCAGGAGCCCUCCCUG